GAUGAACGCUGGCGGCGUGCUUAACACAUGCAAGUCGAGCGAAGCACUUAACUUUGAUUCUUUCGGGAUGAAGAGUUCUGCGACUGAGCGGCGGACGGGUGAGUAACGCGUGGGUAACCUGCCUCAUACAGGGGGAUAACAGUUAGAAAUGGCUGCUAAUACCGCAUAAGACCACAGCACCGCAUGGUGCAGGGGUAAAAACUCCGGUGGUAUGAGAUGGACCCGCGUCUGAUUAGCUAGUUGGUGGGGUAACGGCCUACCAAGGCGACGAUCAGUAGCCGACCUGAGAGGGUGACCGGCCACAUUGGGACUGAGACACGGCCCAAACUCCUACGGGAGGCAGCAGUGGGGAAUAUUGCACAAUGGGGGAAACCCUGAUGCAGCGACGCCGCGUGAGCGAAGAAGUAUUUCGGUAUGCAAAGCUCUAUCAGCAGGGAAGAAAAUGACGGUAC
rnacentral:rRNA from 1 species